rnacentral:tRNA from 1 species
AGAAAAAUAGUCUAAAUAAGAUAACCAAUUGUGACUUGGUUGAUAAGGCUUACCUUUUUUUCUA